GAGAGAACAAGGGUUUCUCUGCAAAACCUUGUGCCGCUUCACCAUCUCUCUUCUCUCUUCUCUCUCAAUGUCAUCUAGCCUAGAAAUGGAAAAACUGAGUUUCUGGGUGAGGACCAAGGAAUCUCCAAUUUCAAAUCUCGACAAUAGGCUGCACUUGAAAAAGAUUGUGUUCCAGAGACUUCGUCCAGACCUCACAUUUAGCCUGAGGCCAUUUCCCGUUCAGAUGAAAGGGUGAGCUCCUAUACAUGUCAUGCCGCCUGAAGAUCUUUCCUAAUUUAUGUCUAUUUCAUUUCUACACACUUACUCUAUUUCAGACAGUUAUUUAUUUUUCAGAUAGCUUUAUAUUUUAAACUCCUUGUACGAUGACUUUCAGAUCUUUGGGGUUGUAAUAGUUUAGA